AACUUAACUAGAAAUGUGAAUCAAUUAGGAUUCGAAUUUGGGACCUCGAGUACCAACCACCAAGCCCUUUGCCACUUGCGCUUGGGACAGUCGGUCCAAACAACGUAUUAAUGCACCACAUCGACAUUUUACUAUAUGACGCCUCGACUUCCCACCGAGCCACCCAUCCUAGGACUACUCCGUCCAAGCACGCUUAACUCUCUUAACUUCUUAGGUCUAUCCACCGCCCAAAAUGCUUAAGUCAGGAUAAGAGUUUAGCCCUAUUAUAUCAUAUAUAUAUAUAUAUAUAUAUAUAGGACUACUUGGGCCCCCCACUUUUAAGCCCUGACGUCCUCAUUAGGCUUAUACUCACAAGUAUCAGAUGAUGUAAGAUUCGUCUCUCUAACCUAAAUUGACAUUGUGGUGAGCCGCGCUCCACCCACAACGGUCAACAGUAUGAGAGCCUUGCUCUCCCUGUUGUAUAAUCUUUGCUUAGCCGAGCCUUAUUUCACACUUUCGGCUGGUAAUUGACUCUGAUACCAACUAUGACGCCCCGACUUUUCAGGGGGUCAUCCAUCCUAAAACUACUUCUGUCCAAGCACACCUAACUCUCUUAACCUCUCGGGCCUAACCACGGCCCAAAAUACUUAAGCCGUAUUAAGAGUUUAGCCCUAUUAUAUCAUAUAUAUAAGACUAUCUGAGAUCUCACAUACUAUGCCAUGGCUCGCUAUCCACAUAUCUAUCU
rnacentral:lncRNA from 1 species